rnacentral:sRNA from 1 species
UGCCGAUUUUUACGAAGUCGUCAGGCCUCGAAUUUUCCGUUCAUGGACAGGGGAGGCAUUCUCACUUUCUUCUGGGAUUUUAUCGGUUUGCCGAAGAUUUCGUAAGACAUCGUCCAACUGAAAAGGAAACAGUGGAUAGAAUAGUGACUCGGAGGAAGUUUACGCGGUGGAGGAUGUGAUUGCAACUUCAGGUGCCAUGUCAUUACAGCUAAAAUAGGGAGUACAGAUGGCCAGGUCAACUGAAGAUGGUGGCGACAGGCAAAUGAGGUGUAUCUGCUAUGGUUAAGCAUGAUAUAUGUCAAGUCGUUGUUGUUACCGACGGUUUGUUGUAUAAAUCGUUUCCUAACGGAGAUUAGACUUACUAUCCGAGAGGGACCGUUUGCUCAAAUGUACGUAAAAUAAUGCUUUUACGAGAGCUAGCGGACGU